UGCGUAGGUGGUAACGUGUGUCGGGUGUGAAAGUCCGCGGCUCAACCGCGGAAGUGCAUCCGAAACUGCGUAACUAGAGUGCAGGAUGGGAGAGCGGAAUUCUUGGUGUAGCGGUGAAAUGCGUUGAUAUCAAGAAGAACACCGGUGGCGAAGGCGGCUCUCUGGAAUGCAACUGACACUGAGGCACGAAAGCUGGGGGAGCAAACAGGAUUAGAUACCCUGGUAGUCC
rnacentral:rRNA from 1 species